AUUGAACGCUGGCGGCAUGCUUUACACAUGCAAGUCGAACGAGUGGCGAACGGGUGAGUAACGUAUCGGAACGUACCGAGUAGUGGGGGAUAACUUCCCGAAAGGAUAGCUAAUACCGCAUAUUAUUCGAGCGGCCGAUGUCUGAUUAGCUGGUUGGCGGGGUAAAGGCUCACCAAGGCGACGAUCAGUAGCGGGUCUGAGAGGAUGAUCAGCCACACUGGGACUGAGACACGGCCCAGACUCCUACGGGAGGCAGCAGUGGGGAAUGUUGGACAAUGGGCGCAAGCCUGAUCCAGCCAUGCCGCGUGUCUGAAGAAGGCCUUCGGGUUGUAAAGUACUUUUGGCAGGGAAGCGGUACCUGCAGAAUAAGCACCGGCUAACUACGUGCCAGCAGCCGCGGUAAUAC
rnacentral:rRNA from 1 species